AAUUCACCCUGGGGGUGCUGCCAUGCGGCUGAGAGAGACGUUGUCUCAACCUUAACGGACCUGAUCCGGAUCAUGCCGGCGGAGGGAAGCGGUGAAAAAAGCGG
rnacentral:ncRNA from 1 species